rnacentral:rRNA from 1 species
UACGUAGGGGGCGAGCGUUGUCCGAAGUUACUGGGCGUAAAGCGCGCGUAGGCGGUCAUUUAAGUCUGAGGUGAAAGGUUCAGCGCUCAACGUGAACAGUGCCUUGGAUACUGGGUGACUUGAGUUCGGGAGGGGGCAGUGGAAUUCCAGGUGUAGCGGUGAAAUGCGCAGAUAUCAGGAGGAACACCGGUGGCGAAGGCGGGUCUCUGGGCCGAUACUGACGCUGAGGAGCGAAAGCGUGGGGAGCGAACAGG